rnacentral:rRNA from 1 species
AAUCGAACCCGGAGAUAGCUGGUUCUCCUCGAAAUAGCUUUAGGGCUAGCCUCGUAUUAGAUAACUGGAGGUAGAGCACUGAAUGGGCUAGGGGGCCCAAAGCUUACCGAACCCUAUCAAACUUCGAAUGCCAGGAUAUUGAUGUACGGGAGUCAGUCCGCGAGAGAUAAGUUCCGCGGGCAAAAGGGGAACACCCCAGACCCACUGCUAAGGUCCCAAAGUGCGCGUUAAGUGGAGAAGGAUGUGUGAUUGCACAGACAACCAGGAUGUUGGCUCAGAAGCAGCCAUUCAUUCAAAGAGUGCGUAAUAGCUCACUGGUCGAGUGGUCAUGCGCCGAAGAUGUACCGGGGCUCAAACGCGCCACCGAAGCAUGGGAUUCGCGCAAGCGAGUGGUAGAGGAGCAUUGAAUCAGGGCAGAAGCUGGAGCGAGAGCACGAGUGGACUUGAUUCAAGAGAGAAUGCCGGUAUGAGUAGCGAGAGGCAAGCGAGAAACUUGCCCGUCGAAAGCCUAAGGUUUCCUGGGGAAGGUUCAUCCGCCCAGGGUAAGUCGGGACCUAAGCCGAGGACGGAAGUCGUAGGCGAUGGACAGCAGGUUGAGAUUCCUGCACCGCCUUGAGAAUGAUGCAAUGACACAGAAGGAUAGCAUGAGCCGGGUGAUGGUCAACUCGGUUUCCAAAGCGAGGGCGUCUGGUAGUGAAGUACGCCAGACACACAGCCUGAGCCAAAGAGGGAGCGAAAUUCAAGUAGCGAAGCAUGCGAUUUCACGCUGGCGAGAAAAGUUGCUGGUAUAUCGAAGAGGCGCCCGUACCGCAAACCGACGCAGGUAGGCGAGGUGAGAAUCCUAAGACGAACGGGAGAACCCUUGUUAAGGAACUCGGCAAAAUGACCCCGUAACUUCGGGAGAAGGGGUGCCGAUGGAAACAUCGGUCGCAGAGAAAAGGCUCAAGCGACUGUUUAGCAAAAACACAGGUAUCUGCGAAAGCGAGAGCUGACGUAUAGGUGCUGACACCUGCCCGGUGCUGGAAGGUUAAGGGGAAAUGUCAUCGCAAGAGAAGCAUAGAACCGAAGCCCCAGUAAACGGCGGCCGUAACUAUAACGGUCCUAAGGUAGCGAAAUUCCUUGUCGGGUAAGUUCCGACCCGCACGAAUGGUGUAACGAUUUGAGCGCUGUCUCAACAGGGGGCCCGGUGAAAUUGAAGUAUGGGUGAAGAUGCCCAUUACCCGCGACUGGACGGAAAGACCCCGUAGAGCUUGACUGUAGCCUGAUAUUGGAUUUCGGUAACGGAUGCACAGGAUAGGUGGGAGGCUUGGAAGCCAGGACUCCGGUCUUGGUGGAGCCGCCGUUGGGAUACCACUCUUCUGUUGCUGGAAUUCUAACAUGGCGCCGUGAAACCGGUGAAUGGACAGUGUCAGGUGGGCAGUUUGACUGGGGCGGUCGCCUCCGAAAGAGUAACGGAGGCGCCCAAAGGUACCCUCAGAAUGGAUGGAAACCAUUCAAAGAGUGUAAAGGCAGAAGGGUGCUUGACUGUGAGAGUGACAACUCGAUCAGAUACGAAAGUAGGGCUUAGUGAUCCGGCGGUAUUGAGUGGAAAAGCCGUCGCUUAACGGAUAAAAGCUACCUCGGGGAUAACAGGCUGAUCUCCCCCAAGAGUCCACAUCGACGGGGAGGUUUGGCAC